ACGCUCGCUCUCCUUUCGUUGCCUGACCGCCGCCAUCAUGGGUCGUAUGCAUGCUCCCGGGAAGGGCCUGUCCCAGUCGGCUUUACCCUAUCGACGCAGCGUCCCCACUGUAAGUAACGCGCUGGGACCGGGGAGAAUCCGGGGAGGGGGGUGGCAUUUGUCUCGGGUGAAGCGACGCCAGGGUGAGGAACUUGCGUGUAUGAGGAGCGCGGUUUUGCGGAAGGAGAGGCCGCUGUUCUUCGGCGCCAUUCCUGGGUUCUCAUCCUAAGGCUGCUUUCUAUUCCAUAACAGUGGUUGAAGUUGACAUCUGACGACGUGAAGGAGCAGAUUUACAAACUGGCCAAGAAGGGCCUGACUCCUUCACAGAUCGGUGAGUGUUUGUGUCUAAUAUAGCCUCCUUCGCCUGUCCUCGUGUGACUUGUAGGAUUUAGUAGAUGGUAAAGUUAUUUUUAAAAUAGCCAAAACUAUGGUUUCGGCACCGUGCUAGAGGCAUCAUUGUAAGCACUUCACGUGUACUGAUUUCGUUUAAUUCUGACCACAAUACUUUGAAAUAAAUCUUCGUGGCUUUCUCCCCAGUUUAUAG
rnacentral:sRNA from 1 species